rnacentral:rRNA from 1 species
AGCGAACGCUGGCGGCAGGCUUAACACAUGCAAGUCGAACGGUCCUUCGGGAUAGUGGCGGACGGGUGAGUAACACGUGGGAACGUACCCUUAGGUUCGGAACAACACAGGGAAACUUGUGCUAAUACCGGAUAAGCCCUUCGGGGGAAAGGUUUAUCGCCUUUGGAGCGGCCCGUGUCUGAUUAGCUUGUUGGUGAGGUAAUGGCUCACCAAGGCUACGAUCAGUAGCUGGUCUGAGAGGAUGGCCAGCCACACUGGGACUGAGACACGGCCCAGACUCCUACGGGAGGCAGCAGUGGGGAAUCUUGCGCAAUGGGCGAAAGCCUGACGCAGCCAUGCCGCGUGGAUGAUGAAGGUCUUAGGAUUGUAAAAUCCUUUCACCGGGGACGAUAAUGACGGUACCCGGAGAAGAAGCCCCGGCCAACUUCGUGCCAGCAGCCGCUGUAA